UACGGGGGGGGGAAGCGUUGUCCGGAUUUACUGGGCGUAAAGAGCGCGCAGGCGGUCGUUCAAGUCGAGUGUGAAAGCCCCCGGCUCAACUGGGGAGGGUCAUUCGAUACUGAUCGACUCGAAGGCAGGAGAGGGAAGCGGAAUUCCCGGUGUAGUGGUGAAAUGCGUAGAUAUCGUAAGGAAGACCAGUGGCGAAGGCGGGUCUCUGGACAGUUCCUGACGCUGAGACGCGAAAGCGUGGGGAGCGAACAGG
rnacentral:rRNA from 1 species